UACGUAGGGUGCGAGCGUUAAUCGGAAUUACUGGGCGUAAAGCGUGCGUAGGCGGUUCGCUGUGUCCGAUGUGAAAGCCCCGGGCUUAACUUGGGAAUGGCAUUGGAAACUGGCGGGCUUGAGUGUGGCAGAGGGGGGUGGAAUUCCGCGUGUAGCAGUGAAAUGCGUAGAGAUGCGGAGGAACACCGAUGGCGAAGGCAGCCCCCUGGGUUAACACUGACGCUCAGGCACGAAAGCGUGGGGAGCAAACAGG
rnacentral:rRNA from 1 species